rnacentral:rRNA from 1 species
ACUCCUACGGGAGGCAGCAGUGGGGAAUAUUGCACAAUGGGCGCAAGCCUGAUGCAGCAACGCCGUGUGAGUGAAGAAGGUUUUCGGUAUCGUAAACUACUGUCCUAAGGGAAGAAACAAAUGACGGUACCUUAGGAGGAAGCCCGGCUAACUACGUGCCAGCAGCCGCGGUAAUACGUAGGGGCAAGCGUUAUCCGGAAUCACUGGGCGUAAAGGGUGCGUAGGCGGCUUAGCAAGCCAGGGUGAAAGGCAUUGGCUCAACCAAUGUAAGCCUUUGGAACUGUUAAGCUUGAGUGCAGGAGAGGUAAAGUGGAAUUCCUAGUGUAGAGGUGAAAUUCGUAGAUAUUAGGAGGAACACCAGUGGCGAAGGCGACUUACUGGACUGUAACUGACGCUGAUGCACG